GCCCGUGUUCGUGAACGGAUGCUCGCCGCUCUUCAGAUGCGCGACGGCUUGGGUUUCGAGCGCCCGGGCGACGAGUUCGUCGCCCGGCUCGAGCUC
rnacentral:tRNA from 1 species